rnacentral:rRNA from 1 species
UCUUCCACAAUGGACGAAAGUCUGAUGGAGCAACGCCGCGUGAGUGAAGAAGGUUUUCGGAUCGUAAAACUCUGUUGUUGGAGAAGAACGUAUUUGAUAGUAACUGAUCAGGUAGUGACGGUAUCCAACCAGAAAGCCACGGCUCACUACGUGCCAGCAGCCGCGGUAAUACGUAGGUGGCAAGCGUUGUCCGGAUUUAUUGGGCGUAAAGCGAGCGCAGGCGGUUUCUUAAGUCUGAAGUGAAAGCCUUCGGCUCAACCGAAGAAGUGCAUCGGAAACUGGGAAACUUGAGUGCAGAAGAGGACAGUGGAACGCCAUGUGUAGCGGUGAAAUGCGUAGAUAUAUGGAAGAACACCAGUGGUGAAGGCGGCUGUCUGGUCUGUAACUGACGCUGAGGCUCGAAAGCAUGGGUAGCAAACAG